UUUUAUUUCUAAGCUUUUUGUGGUAACAAAACUAGCAAGAUUUUAGUGGGAAACAGACCACCUUAAUUGCUGACCUCAGAACGCUGUUGAGGACUCAAGCUCUAAGCUACUGUCCUUGCUCCACGUGGCAUUGAGGCAAUCUUGAUUGUGUGGCCGUUAGGAAUUUGAAAGCUAAUCCUCAAAGAAAAUAAUUUCUGUUCACUCAAAAAAACUGCUAUAAGUCUCAUAUUCAGUCCUCUCUUCUCUGCUGAAAGAUCAUUCUGCACCUUUUCUUGCUUAAUUAAUCACCGCCAUUUUACCAUGGCUGCCACUAUCUCCACCGUUGGAGCUGUCAGCCGGGCACCGGUAUUCUUUAUCUUCCCGGCUUUUCUAUGCUCUUUAAUCGUCAUCUCCACCUACUUUAGAAUUCUUCAAUCUUGUAGCUUUUAUGGUCUUGAUAAUAUCCAAUGUAGCUCCUACUUUAAUAUUCUUUAUGAUGUUAUUUGCCUCUUUUCACUUCUGGGUAUCGUAUAAGAGAAGAGUUACUUCAUAUGCUUUUGUAUGUAUGCAUAUAAAGAGUAGGGAUGCUUGAAUUUUUUUUACCAACUGAACAAAAAGAAGGAAUAUCAUCUGUUUAGCCGAUUUUAAUUAGAUUUAAAUCGACGCUUAUUUAGUUGAAUUUAGUUUA
rnacentral:misc_RNA from 1 species